rnacentral:rRNA from 1 species
GACGAACGCUGGCGGCGUGCUUAACACAUGCAAGUCGAACGGAAAGGCCCUGCUUUGGUGGGGUGCUCGAGUUGCGAACGGGUGAGUAACACGUGAGUAACCUGCCCUUGACUUUGGGAUAACUUCAGGAAACUGGGGCUAAUACCGGAUAGGAGCUCCUGCUGCAUGGUGGGGGUUGGAAAGUUUCGGCGGUUGGGGAUGGACUCGCGGCGUAUCAGCUUGUUGGGUGGGUAGUGGCUUACCAAGGCAUUGACGGGUAGCCGGCCUGAGAGGGUGACCUGCCACAUUGGGACUGAGCUACGGCCCAGACUAGUACGGGAGGCAACGGUGGGGAAUAUUGCACAGUGGGCGGGAGGCUGGUGCGACCACGCCACGUGCGGGAUGACGGCCUUCGGGUUGUAAACCGCAUUCGCCUGUGACGAAGCGUGAGUGACGGUAAUGGGUGAAGAAGCACCGGCUAACUACGUG